UUUUUAAACCAUGUGUCUAAUACCUCCUUAAAUUUAAAGAAGGUGAGGGUUUUGACUGAUUGUGGCAGUUGGUUAUAUAACUUUAGACUUAGGUGUUUGUGAUUGUUGUGUGUCAGUGACAGCCUAGAAUACGGUUGUAUUACAACUUGUAGUUUUAGGACUCUUAUGCUGUUGUCACUGACAAUCUGUGAAAUCUGAUGAUAAAAUGCCAAAUUAUAAAAGUUACAAGAAAGGGCCAUUAACAACAGGAGCAAAUCAGAAAACAGCUUACAGCAUAACAAUGCUAAACCUAUGCCAUGUUGUAAUAAAAUACAAAUUGACACUGACCACUGGGGAUUAGACCAUGGACCUUUAGCUUGAAACUUAUUCUUUCCCUGAGAUCCUAGUUGCAAAUAAACUUGUACUUAAGCACUUCAUGACUAAUGAAACUCAAAACUAUUAACUUUGUAGCACCCAAAACAGUCUAUAUUGACAUUAAUGCCUAUUUUUGCCUAUUUCAGCUUUAAAAUCCUAAUAGGUAUAUAUUUCUUUAAGGUAACAUUAAAUUAUUGUGCUAUUUGCAAAAGAUUAGAAAUGUUUGCAAGAACUGAAGGGGAUAUUUGAAAAAAAAAUCUGUAGGUCAUAGAAUCCUGGCCAUAGCUUAUUUCCACAAAGAAAGAUAUUUGUAGGUUUUGAAUUGACAUCAGAUGCACAAAAUACAUAGACAAGGGGAGAGUUAAAGCUGCCUAGCAAUUUUAAUAAAAGAACAACUCCUCUCUCCCUGACUGUAUGGUUUUCUGUUGAUGAAACUACUGACAGUAUUGGCAGGCACAUUGCAAAUCUGAUUGUUGGCAAGCUCAACCCAGAUGGACCAUACAAGGCUUCUUUUAUUUGUUCGAAACAACUCCCAAAGACUAAUUAGUAAAACAAUUGCACACUUUGUCAACAAUAGGUUGAAGGGAAUACAUCCAAAUGGAAUGGAUGAAAACGAGAUGCUUUUGACCUUCACAGCUGUCACUGCACAUAUCAUUGCAGCAUUUCAGUUGCUUGGUGCUGCAUGUAAAUUCCAUAGCAUAUGGUAUCAAAUGUAGAGCAAAGCAAAUAAGACUAGAAUUUGCUCACAAAUAAUUACUCUCCAUGGUACAGAAAGUUUUUGUUAAGGCACCGUCAAGUAUAGGGGCACCCAAAGAACAACUUCCAGAUGUCCCAUUGACCUCUGAACCUGUUGUUAUAUGCUGGGGUGCUUGGUUGGCAGUAGGAUACUACAGUAAACAUCUCCCAGCAGUCCUGAAAGCAACUGAAAGUCUACUGGAGGAUACCACCUCUGUAACUUUGACAAAGCAAUUACUCAAAGAGCCCUCAGUCCAAUGGGACUUGGCUUAUAUUAACCUGCAGCAAAGAAGAUAUCUUUUAGAGAUUUUAUGUAAUAAUGCUGCUAUAAUAGUGUAAAGAAUUAUUUUCCAAAUUGUCUCAGUGAAGCUUAUCUAUGAGAACAUUUCUUUACUGGAGAAAGUUAAAAAGAAAAUUAAUGAAUUACCAGGUGAAGUGAUAGUAAAAGUACAGAUAAAAAUGCAAUAGGUUUUGCUGAAGAACACUGAUGUGAAUGACAUCCACAAAGCGGCAUACUUACUUAGUAGAAAAUCCAGCUCCCAUGAUUACAGCAUUCCUAUCCAACAUGUUCCAAAAGUGAAGUAUGCCCCUUUCACAUCCAUUGAUGUAGAAUGUUCUUUUUCAGCAUAUAAAUUGAUGUUGACUGACAAACAUCAUAGUUUUUCUCUUGAAAACCUAGAAAAUGUUUCGUUUAUUUACUGUGAAGUACUGUAUGGUCUGAAAGGCUGCUUAGCCGGCAUUUACUAAAUUACAUAUUACACAUAUUUCAACAUAUUGCUAUAUGUGUUUUAUGCUGUAUUUUUAUCUUGAAUAAACUAAUAAGGUCUGGGUUCAGUUUGAAUAUUACAAUAGUAUAAUGUUUGCUGCAUUUUACAGCUGUGCAUAUUUUCAUUUUACUUGUUUUAAAUGAAUAACAAUAUGCUCAUACAUCAACACUGUAUAUUUUACAUUAUGUUUAAUUUUCUGUAUAAUAUAUUUUAGAGCCUCUUUUGGGUUUUAUGUAACCUAAAUGAGGCACUGAAAGAGCCUAUUUUAAGUGCUUGAAAUGCACUUUUCAUGACCUAAAAAUCUGCAGUCUAUUUAUGAUACAUGUUCAUGGUCUGUAGAUGGCAGUGCGACUGAAAUGGAUCCACCACAAUAAAUACAUCAUCAAACUACUAUAGCAGCAAUCUGUAUUUUAUUACAGAUGUGGUAGAUUUAUUGUGCAGACACUGCAUUCACCACUAAUCGACAUUAAUAUAAAAAAUUACAACUACUAAAGGGAUUAUACAAUUCAUUAGGUCACUAGAAAGUGGCAAUUCUGCUGGCUGUGAUAGUGUUUUUAGCAGACUGUUAUAAUCUUGUACUGGCUUGAUAAGAUUACCCUUAAUUAUCUUUGUAAUCCAUCAAUGAGUUGGUGUUUAUUUCCUGACAGGCUUAAAUAUGUUGAAUAACACCCAUCCACAAAACUGGAGAUAAAAAAAAAACCACUGCUAAUUACAGACUCAUAUCAUUCCUUCCAGUCUUUCCAAAAGUAUUUGAGCAAGUGGUCUAUGAUACAUAAUGUUUAUUUAUUAAACAUCCACUUCAUCAAAUCUUUGAUUUAGGAUAGGGUUUAUUUUGUACAUUAAUACACUGUUUUAAAUACAGUGUACAUUAGAGUAAAAUUAAUUCAAUACCAUUAAUAAUUUUAAGAAUAUAGUACAGUACAAUAAACAAGUCCACUAUAAUACCACUACAUUAAAAUAUAUAAUGUAUAGUACUGUGAAUAACAAAAGCAAUUUUCAAUGCCUAAAAGAAAGAGGGAAACAAUUUACCUCACAAAUGUGUUUUUAGAACCAUUUUGAAUUUUUGUGUUUAUCGUAUUGGACAUAUGUGGAGGGAAGUUUAUUGUACAGUUUUCUCCAUCUGCAGUGGUCCAUUUUGUCUGAGAGUUGUGUUGGUAUACCCACUGUGAAGAUUCAGUUUUUGCUUCGUGUCAUAUAUGUGGACUAAUUGAUCUGUAGAUACUAAGUUGUUUUUUUUCUGAAAUUUUCUUUAUGUAGGUAACUACCUCAAGAGUAUACAGACAUGGCAAUGGUAGUAUCUGGAGUGCUUUAAAUAGGGGUUUGCAAGAGUUUCUGAGUGCUGCAUUUUCAGUUGUUCUUAUCAUCCUCCUUUGUGCUAUGAAAUAGCUUUUGCUUAUUGGUGCAUUGCGACAGUUUUCUCAGUGUCAACAACAAGAUUAUUAUUGGUGAAUGACUCUGCAAUGUGUGAGAUGCAAUUUUGUGUUUCAUGCUGUUCAAGGUGUCCUUUUUAAGAGUUACUGGAUGACUCUAGGUCUUUGAUAAAUAUGAAGAAAGACACUUGGACCAAAAUGGAAACUUAGGGCAUACUGUACAUAUCUUCUUUUCUCUUAUAAUGCUAUGGGUAAAAAGAGUAAAUUCACUCUUCACCUUGUGAAACAAGCCGACAACGGGUCAUAUCAUUUAAAAUCACCAGAAGAAGAUUCUAGUCAGGUUCCUCCUUGUCCUGCACCAAAAGAAAGAGUAGACCUACAAAAUAAAGAUAAUACGGAAAAAGAAGCCAAUACAGAGGCGAAUUCCACUUCUGAGUUUGAAAGUCUUUUCGAACACAGCAGCAAGGAUGAUAUCUCCAGUGGCAGUAGUGAUGUGUAUGAUCCAGAUAAAAACAAAAAUGACCAUAGCAGUAACAACAGCACAGAAGACGAUGACGACAAAGUCGAUGUGGGAGUAAAAAGUGCUAAGCAGUGCCAUAAAAGGAAAAGCAAUCAAUCUCUCAAUAUUUGCAGAAAGAAAAACUUAUGAGGGGACAGGAUUAUUUAGGAAUGCAAAAAGAUGAGUUUGGCAAAAAGAGACCAACAAUGAGCAGAAGUAGGAGGGAAAUGAAACCACGAUGUACUUGUAGACUUCUUGCUUAAAUCAGAACAGGAAUUGCAAGGAUAUUACGGAAGAGCAGAGAGAGCUAAUAUUUAAUCAUUUCUGGCAGGAUAUGUCUUGGGGUGAAAGAAAAAUUUUUGUUAGAAGCCUUGUCUACUAUGUUCCAGUUAAAAGACGCAGAAAUAAUUCAGACUCUAAUAAAUCUCACCGUUCUAACACACUAUAUUACAAUUUUGUAAUAGAAGGACAGAGAAAAACUGUCUGCAAGACUAUGUUUCUGAAUACUUUGUGCUUAGGCGAAUGGAGUGUCAGAACAUGGGCAUCUAGUGCAUCAGGAAGAGUGCUUGCAGAAGGGCCUCAAAUGCAGGAGAGACCAACGAAAGUUUCAGGUGGACAACAACCAGCAUCAGACGUUUACAGUGUUUCCGAAACUGGAAUGGCAUUACUGUCGUCGUUCUUCCACAAAACUCUACUUGGAACCUAACUGGCAGAGUAAAUCAGAACUACAUGGGGAAUAUGUAGAACUUUGCAAGAAAAGAGGACAAAUCCCAGCUGCUUACAAACAGUUCUGCAAGGUAUUCGAUGAAAAUAAUCUUAACUUAUUUACACCUAAAAAGCACCAGUGUGAUCUUUGUUGUUCUCACCAGACAGGCAAUCUCUCAGACAAUGAAUACUCUUGGCAUAUGGCCCGAAAAACUGAAUCAAGGGAAGCGAAAAACAGUGAUAAAUUAGGACCAGCUAGAGUGUUUACUACGGACCUUAAAGCACUUCUGCUUUCUCCCAGACUAAAAGUAUCUGCACUGUACUAUAAAAGCAAACUAAAGGUCCACAACUUUGCUGUCUAUGAUUUAAAAAGUAAUGAUGGUUAUUGAUACCUUUGGCGCAAGAGUGAAGGUCGACUAACAGCUUCAGAAUUUGCCAGUAUACUCGUGCAUUUAUAGAAAUGUACGUCCAAAAUGAUUCAGAAGCUAUUUUCUAUAGUGACAGAUGCAUGUACCAGAAUCGAAACUCAGUCAUGAGUAAUGUACUGGCUCAUCUCGCCAAUCAGAAAGGCAUUACAAUAGUGCAAAAAUUUUAUGGAGAAAGGUCACACUCAAAUGGAGUGUGAUUCUAUGCACUCCACCGUAGAAAGGAAGUUAAAAAACAGACACAUUUAUACUCCUGCUGGCUAUGUAGAAGUUUGUACUACCGCAAGACAAAGUCCUAGACCUUAUGUUGUCAAUUAUUUGGACCACACGUUUUUCAAGUCCUAUGAUAAACUCUUGUUGUAUUAGUCUAUUCGGCCAGGAUCCAAAAUUGGGGAUCCAACAGUGACUGAUAUCCGGUGUCUCAAGUAUGAUCCCUCUGGAAAAAUGGAAUAUAAAUUGAAAUUCAGCGAUACAUGGGAACCACUUCCAAGAAGGAUGUCAAACAUAUCCAGCUCAUUUACAGUGCCCCCUCUCUACAGUUCACAUCUAAAGAUCAGUGCAGAAAAGUUUACGCUUUUGAACAACUGAAGCUAGUCCUUCCUAAGGAUGUGCAUUCAUUUUAUGACACACUGCCUCACAUUUGUAAUGAGAGAGCAUGUCCGUGCCUAAAAAAAUGCAGCCGAAAAUAAACUUGUUUAGAGCCACCUAUGACUGUGAUUGUGAUAGUAGCAGUAACAGUAACAAUAAUAAAUGUUAAUAAACUGCACAAGUGUUUACAGUAUUAAAAGUUUAAUUAAAGCUAA